rnacentral:rRNA from 1 species
CCUACGGGAGGCUGCAGUGGGGGAUAUUGCACAAUGGGGGGAACCCUGAUGCAGCGACGCCGCGUGGGUGAAGGAGCGUUUCGGCGCGUAAAGCCCUAUCGGCAGGGAAGAAGAUGACGGUACCUGACCAAGAAGCCCCGGCUAACUACGUGCCAGCAGCCGCGGUAAUACGACGGGGGCAAGAGUUAUCCGGAUUUACUGGGUGGAAGGGGGGCGCAGACGGCAAUGCAAGCCAGGAGUGAAAGCCCGGGGCACAACCCCGGGACUGCUCUUGGAACUGCAUGGCUGGAGUACAGGAGGGGUAGGCGGAAUUCCUAGGGUAGCGGUGAAAUGCGUAGAUAUUAGGAGGAACACCGGUGGCGAAGGCGGCCUGCUGGACUGUGACUGACGUUGAGGCCCGAAGGCGUGGGGAGCAAACAGGAUGAGAUACCCCUGUAGUC